AUGAGCAGCCCUAAGUAUGAGAAGCUUGAAGAGGAUGAGGAGCCUGGAGAUCAGAGUUCAAUCACCUCCUUAGCAGAACAAGACAAAAAGGAGUUUGAGCCUCUGAAAGGUCAUACUCGGACACAACCUGCUACAAGCUAUGGGUCAACUCUCCCAGCACCACCUGAAUGUAGUACACCUGAAAUAGGAUCCUAUCAGGACCCAGCCCUUGAGCCUCCUCGUGUCAUCGUCAGCCAACCUGUCCAGUUUGUUGAACAACCUGAAUACCUGUGCUACUCACUCUUAGCCAUGCUUUUCUGUUGCUUCCCACUGGGUAUUGUAGCCUUGAUUUUCUCCAUACAGACCCAAGGAGCAAACCGGAACCGAAACAGGGAAGAUGCUCGGCGCUACUCCAAUCGUGCACGCACCUUCGCCACCUUAGCCGUCGGGUUCGGCCUCGCAUCUUUGGUGGUAUUUAUCAUUGCAACGGUGGUUCAUCAUAACCAGACGCAAAACUCACCGCCACCAAACAGCCCCUGAGAAUGCUCAUAUCCUGAAAAAUCUACUCUUCUCUCCCUCUUCCGCUGUCAACUCAAGGAAGCCCAAGUGUGAUGUCUUCGUCUUUGAAUUGUCCCGUCAACUAAAAGGGCAUGCAACAGAGCUCAUAGAAAUGUGUGUGUAUGUUGUAUGCUUUCUGCAUACUUGACCUGACAACUAGCAAGGGAAUACAGGAAGUGCAAAGCAUUGCAACUGGUGUAACAGCUGAUGAUCUGAAUGCCCUACAUGGUGAUGACAUAGUUCUGAUGGUCCGAGUGAGGAAUUAUCACGAAUGACCCAUUCCCCUGGUACAAAAUAUCCCCAAUGGAAAUGCAGGAAUGAGGACAGGCACACUGGGUGGUCUCAAGGAUCAGAUAGGAAAUGUUGGCCCAUUUGUUAGCUGGACAAUGUCCAUUGUAGCUGCCAAGAUAUUCUUAAGGUUAAAACAUCAUGAUCCAGCUCCAUACAAUCAAGUUAUAGUUUCAGAUCAUCUUCCAGCUGCCCAUUUCCCCUCUGCCCAUUCCCUCUUUCAGAUGUAAUUCCUGUCCUAGACUUCCCCCCCCCCAUUUCCUUUUCUUGUUGUUCCUCCACCUUCUAAGCCUGCUUCCAGUCUCCUCUCGCCGGCUUUCCUGUGUGGACUUGCCAGCUAGACUGUUUCACAGGUGAAAGGAGAGACAUUCUUACACCACUAUUAUUUUCAUAAUAUGAGUUUCUGCCUACAUCCUGUUCUCACUCCCCUUUACAAAGGGGAUGGUAUUGUCUUCUGUCGUCUUUUAGUGUACAAUAAUCUCUCCUGCCUAUUUGAAAAAGAAGCAAUUUGUUAGCAUCUUCUUGUGGACAAUAAACAAGUAAAUAAACAAUUGUAAUUUAUGGUG
rnacentral:lncRNA from 1 species